AUGGCUCAGGAUGAACGCUGGCGGCGUGCUUAACACAUGCAAGUCGAACGAAGCAUUCCGUAACCCUUCGGGGGAGGGAAUGACUGAGUGGCGGACGGGUGAGUAACGCGUGGGUAACCUGCCUUAUACAGGGGGAUAACAGUUAGAAAUGACUGCCAAUACCGCAUAACCCGCUAGUACCGCAUGGUACGGACGGAAAAGAUUUAUCGGUAUAAGAUGGACCCGCGUCUGAUUAGCUAGUUGGUGAGGUAAAGGCCCACCAAGGCGACGAUCAGUAGCCGGCUUGAGAGAGUGAACGGCCACAUUGGGACUGAGACACGGCCCAAACUCCUACGGGAGGCAGCAGUGGGGAAUAUUGCACAAUGGGGGGAAAAACCCCCUGAUGCAGCAACGCCGCGUGAAGGAAGAAGUAUUUCGGUAUGUAAACUUCUAUCAGCAAGAAAGAAAAUGACGGUACCUGACUAAGAAGCCCCGGCUAACUACGUGCCAGCCGCCGC
rnacentral:rRNA from 1 species